CUCAUGCCCUUAUGCCUUGGGCUACACACGUGCUACAAUGGGUGGUACAAAGAGAAGCCAACUCGCGAGAGCGCGCCAAUCUCAAAAAGCCAUCCUCAGUUCGGAUUGGAGUCUGCAACUCGACUCCAUGAAGUUGGAAUCGCUAGUAAUCGCGGAUCAGCAUGCCGCGGUGAAUACGUUCCCGGGCCUU
rnacentral:rRNA from 1 species